rnacentral:misc_RNA from 1 species
UACGUAGGUGGCAAGCGUUGUCCGGAAUUAUUGGGCGUAAAGAGCUCGUAGGCGGCUCGGUAAGUCGGAUGUGAAAACUCCAGGCUCAACCUGGAGACGCCAUCCGAUACUGCCAUGGCUUGAGUCCGGUAGAGGAGUGUGGAAUUCCCGGUGUAGCGGUGAAAUGCGCAGAUAUCGGGAGGAACACCAGUGGCGAAGGCGGCACUCUGGGCCGGUACCGACGCUAAGACGCGAAAGCAUGGGGAGCAAACAGG